rnacentral:rRNA from 1 species
GACAGAGGUGCCAAGCGUUAGGCGGAAUCACUGGGCUUAAAGCGUGUGUAGGUGGAUGCCUAAGUACCUUGUGAAAUCCCACGGCUCAACCGUGGAACUGCUCGGUAUACUGGGUGUCUUGAGCCACUUAGGGGCUACCGGAACAAAUGGUGGAGCGGUGAAAUGCGUAGAUAUCAUUUGGAACGCCAAUGGUGAAAACAGCUCGCUGGGGGUUUGCUGACGCUGAGACACGAAAGCCAGGGGAGCAAACGGG